GAUGAACGCUGGCGGCGUGCCUAAUACAUGCAAGUCGAGCGAACGGACGAGAAGCUUGCUUCUCUGAUGUUAGCGGCGGACGGGUGAGUAACACGUGGAUAACCUACCUAUAAGACUGGGAUAACUUCGGGAAACCGGAGCUAAUACCGGAUAAUAUUUUGAACCGCAUGGUUCAAAAGUGAAAGACGGUCUUGCUGUCACUUAUAGAUGGAUCCGCGCUGCAUUAGCUAGUUGGUAAGGUAACGGCUUACCAAGGCAACGAUGCAUAGCCGACCUGAGAGGGUGAUCGGCCACACUGGAACUGAGACACGGUCCAGACUCCUACGGGAAGCAGCAGUAGGGAAUCUUCCGCAAUGGGCGAAAGCCUGACGGAGCAACGCCGCGUGAGUGAUGAAGGUCUUCGGAUCGUAAAACUCUGUUAUUAGGGAAGAACAUAUGUGUAAGUAACUGUGCACAUCUUGACGGUACCUAAUCAGAAAGCCACGGCUAACUACGUGCCAGCAGCCGCGGUAAUACGUAGGUGGCAAGCGUUAUCCGGAAUUAUUGGGCGUAAAGCGCGCGUAGGCGGUUUUUUAAGUCUGAUGUGAAAGCCCACGGCUCAACCGUGGAGGGUCAUUGGAAACUGGAAAACUUGAGUGCAGAAGAGGAAAGUGGAAUUCCAUGUGUAGCGGUGAAAUGCGCAGAGAUAUGGAGGAACACCAGUGGCGAAGGCGACUUUCUGGUCUGUAACUGACGCUGAUGUGCGAAAGCGUGGGGAUCAAACAGGAUUAGAUACCCUGGUAGUCCACGCCGUAAACGAUGAGUGCUAAGUGUUAGGGGGUUUCCGCCCCUUAGUGCUGCAGCUAACGCAUUAAGCACUCCGCCUGGGGAGUACGACCGCAAGGUUGAAACUCAAAGGAAUUGACGGGGACCCGCACAAGCGGUGGAGCAUGUGGUUUAAUUCGAAGCAACGCGAAGAACCUUACCAAAUCUUGACAUCCUUUGACAACUCUAGAGAUAGAGCCUUCCCCUUCGGGGGACAAAGUGACAGGUGGUGCAUGGUUGUCGUCAGCUCGUGUCGUGAGAUGUUGGGUUAAGUCCCGCAACGAGCGCAACCCUUAAGCUUAGUUGCCAUCAUUAAGUUGGGCACUCUAAGUUGACUGCCGGUGACAAACCGGAGGAAGGUGGGGAUGACGUCAAAUCAUCAUGCCCCUUAUGAUUUGGGCUACACACGUGCUACAAUGGACAAUACAAAGGGCAGCGAAACCGCGAGGUCAAGCAAAUCCCAUAAAGUUGUUCUCAGUUCGGAUUGUAGUCUGCAACUCGACUACAUGAAGCUGGAAUCGCUAGUAAUCGUAGAUCAGCAUGCUACGGUGAAUACGUUCCCGGGUCU
rnacentral:rRNA from 1 species